rnacentral:rRNA from 1 species
UACGGGGGGGGCAAGCGUUGUUCGGAAUUACUGGGCGUAAAGGGCUCGUAGGCGGCCAACUAAGUCAGACGUGAAAUCCCUCGGCUUAACCGGGGAACUGCGUCUGAUACUGGAUGGCUUGAGUUUGGGAGAGGGAUGCGGAAUUCCAGGUGUAGCGGUGAAAUGCGUAGAUAUCUGGAGGACCACCGGUGGCGAAGGCGGCAUCCUGGACCAACACUGACGCUGAGUGAGCGAAAGCCAGGGGAGCAAACGGG